rnacentral:tRNA from 3 species
GCCGGGAUAGCUCAGCUGGUAGAGCGCAUCACUUGUAAUGAUGAGGUCGCCGGUUCGAUCCCGGCUCUCGGCU